UCCCUGGUGGUCUAGUGGUUAGGAUUCCGCACUUUCACUGCUGUGGUCUGGGUUCAAUCCCCGGCCUGGGAA
rnacentral:tRNA from 2 species